rnacentral:sRNA from 1 species
GACACAUGGCAGAUGAGCAGGUUGUGAGCCUCACCUUCAGGAGCACAGCGGGCCGAGGCCUUCGUGAGGGCCUUCCUGAAGCGCAGCACGCCCCGCAUGAGCCCACAGGCCCGCGAGGACCAGCUGCAGCGCAAGGCGGUGGUCCUGGAGUACUUCACCCGCCACAAGCGCAAGGAGAAGAAGAAGAAAGCCAAAGGCCUCUCUGCCAGGCAAAGGAGGGAGCUGCGACUCUUUGACAUUAAACCAGAGCAGCAGAGAUACAGCCUUUUCCUCCCUCUCCAUGAACUCUGGAAACAGUACAUCAGGGACCUGUGCAAUGGGCUCAAGCCAGACACGCAGCCACAGAUGAUUCAGGCCAAGCUGUUAAAGGCAGAUCUUCACGGGGCUAUUAUUUCAGUGACAAAAUCCAAAUGCCCCUCUUAUGUGGGUAUUACAGGAAUCCUUCUACAGGAAACAAAGCACAUUUUCAAAAUUAUCACCAAAGAAGACCGCCUGAAAGUUAUCCCCAAGCUAAACUGCGUGUUCACUGUGGAAAUCGAUGGCUUUAUUU